UUUCCGUAGGUGAACCUGCGGAAGGAUCAUUAUUGUAUAACAGAGGUGAGAGGGCUGUGGGUGACCCGAAAGGUCGUGCACGCGCGAGUGCCCUCACGCGCCUCCCUCUCACGCAUUUGUGGACUACCGGGUGGAUCCCCAUGUGGCAUGUUCGGAGGGUGGGUGACGUUUUCAAACAUUCUUCGUAUGCAGUGUAGAAUGUAUUUUUUGUUUUUGCGACAACGGAACGGAUACAACUUUCAACAAAGUACCUCUUGUCUUUCGCAUCGAGGAAGAAGG
rnacentral:misc_RNA from 1 species